CCUACGGGAGGCAGCAGUGGGGGAUAUUGCACAAUGGAGGAAACUCUGAUGUAGCGACGCCGCGUGAGGGAAGACGGUCUUCGGAUUGGAAACCUCUGUCUUUGGGGAAGAAAAUGACGGUACCCAAAGAGGAAGCUCCGGCUAACUACGUGCCAGCAGCCGCGGUAAUACGUAGGGAGCGAGGGUUGUCCGGAAUUACUGGGUGUAAAGGGAGCGUAGGCGGGCGAGAAAGUGGAAUGUUAAAUCGACGGGCUAAACUGGGAGUUGCGUUCAAAACUUCUUGUCUUGAGUGAAGUAGAGGCAGGCGGAAUGCCUAGUGUAGCGGUGAAAUGCUUAGAGAUUAGAAAGAACACCAGUGGCGAAGGCGGCCUGCUGGGCUUUAACUGACGUUGAGGCUCGAAAGCGUGGGGAGCAAACAGGAUUAGAUACCCUUGUAGUC
rnacentral:rRNA from 1 species